AUUUAGCACAGGUUGCAAGUUCAGAAAAUAUGUUUGCAUAGCCAAAUAGACAAUUGGAGAAGCAAUCUGCUACAUUUUCACUCUAAAUUUGUAGAGUGCCUAGGAAAUAUUACAUAGCAUCAGUUUAUUUCAUUAACAGAUAUGGGGGUAUUUUAUAGAAUCUAAUUUUGUCAAACUUGUAUUUUGAUAUUUUGUGUUUUGUCAGUGUGCUACGGUGGGUUUACUUAGGAGCUAAGGCAAUGGGAUACUAUUUAUAAAUCCAUAAAUUAUGCAUUUACUUUAUAAAAAAUAAGUUUUGACCAGAAGCCUUUCUUUCAAGUGACUGAACAAAUAUUUUAAUUCCAUUUUCCUUACAAUCACAGAGAAUAGAUUCCUCAGGGAAGUGAUUGGAAUAUGUAUACACACUCGGUCCUGUCACUGAAAGUUUGCACGUGGAUUAUUCAGCACUUAAAUAUUUUAAAAUGCUGUAUGGUGAAGAGGUGUGUUAGUAAAUAGUCCUAUUUAGCCAGGGUGAAACAAAUCAGUAUUUCUUGUUUCCAUGGAUUAUAAAAGCCUAGAUAGGAUGGCAGGAGGAAAGGUCAAGAUUGUAGCUUUCCACAUAAAAUAGAGUAUUUUUUAAAUACACUUUUUGGAAAGAACAGCAUCCAAUCUACAUUAGAGUUCCCAAUGUUGCUAGCACAGGUAAAGUGUUAGAUCUAGUGUUAGCAACAAUGGAGAACUUCCGUCGCAUUUCCCUACUGUCGAGAAGUUCCCCCAAAGCUUCAGUUGACCAUGGGCCUAGAAGCUGAGCAGGAAGAGCUGCCCCGUUGAGCAGCAGAAUUCUCACAGCUGGACUUCACAAAACUUUAGGCAGGUUUUUAACGGAGUACUUAAAAAAAAUUAACUUUGCAAUGGGGGAUCAUGCAGAAAUUAUUGUAUUAGGAUGUAAAGGGAGGCACCUGAAGAACAGCAAAGAUAGUCCCACAAUUCUGGGGUGCUCUCCUCUCUCUACAGCUCAUGGAAGCAGAUUGAUAUUUUGGCACCCUUUGGUCUGGCCCUGCUCCCUCUGCUCCUGCUUGCUGCCAGAUGAGUUAUUUCCAAACUAUAAAACUUACAUAAUCUCAUUAAUAAACCAGAGAUAACAAAAUAAAUAUAUACAUUAGACCAAGGAAGAUGGUCAUAUGGUAACCAUUCCACUUAAUAUCUGACCCUUGACUCCUGAACCAUCCAGGGUGGGUAAAAUAAUAGGAGUUGCUGAUAACAGAAAGGAAAUUAUUGGUAAGAAAUUUUCCAUUCUGCUGCUCAGCAUCUCCCUCUGAAGUAGCAAGCAAUGAACAGAGGUAGGGAGGGUUAUGGAAAAAGGAAAUCUUUCUUUGAUAGGAAAGAAGUACCAUCCUUUUUGUGAAGUCACUCAAAAGUCUCUUGGUUUCCGAGCCACUGCAUGGAGCACCUUCCUGACAAAGGAGGCCUCUGCAGAAAAUAGUUGGCCCACCUUGUAGUGCUUGCUUAAUGAAGGUGCUAGCUACAGACCAUGUGGCUGUUUCACUGAUUUCCAGAGGACAUGUUCACUUGUUCCAAUCAUGAGGUUGCUAAGGCUCUCAUGGAGCAUGCCAUUAUCCCUUCUGACACAGGAACCAAUGAUGAUUUGUAGGCUUCCACAAUACAUAGUCUAAGCCACCUCAUGAUGAAGGACUUGGAAGCGCUGAGUCCCUGGCAUUUUGGGUGGAACGGCACGAAUAGGGAGCCUGAUCUUUGUGUGGAGUCUGUGUGCUUGAGAGAUUUUCAACACUCUUCUGACAUCUAAGGUGUUCCACAUCUUUUCAUUUGGUUUUGGACAGAACGAAGAAAGUGCAACAUCUUGGGAAGCGCGGAAGGAGGAAUUUACUUAGGAGAAGAAGGGAUUCUGGUGUCCUGAACAUCAGCUUGUCCUCAUGUAACAUGCAGUAAGGCUCCUGUAUAGAUAAGGCUGGCAGCUCCAACGUUCUCCUGGUGGUUGUGACAGCUACUAAGAAACGAGUUGCAAUAGAUAAAUAAAAGGCUGUCUCUAACGUCAAACACUCAAAAAGAUGGCUUAUCAAGGGACUCAGAACUUGCGAAAGGUCCCAUUUUGGAAAGAGUGGCCUGAGCACAUGUCUGGCGAACCGGACUGCUCAAUCCGCCAGGGAGUCUGAGACUCCUGCAGAUAGCACAGUACUAAGAGCAGACACCUGAGGCACAAUGGUACUGAGCUGAAGGCCUUGGUCUGUGCCUUUCUUAGAGGAAAUCCUGAAUGGUUAGAAUUCCUGGAGUUCUGGGAUUUUGCACUGUGGUUUUGGUUUUUGUUAAAUCUGGACAAGGUAGAGAAAAACACUUUUAGCAUAUCUACUCUUCUAGAUGAAGCAAUGUCUUAAUGACUGGAGGACAGAGCUCUCAGUACCCAGGCUGUUAGCUGAAGCUGUUUUGGGUCCAGGUGAGGAAGAGGACCUUGUGAGAAGAUGUCCAAUCUCUACAGAAGCUGGAGUGGGGGCUCUAGUGUCAGCUCUGUCAGGUUCCCUGGGCUGUCUGGGUCUCUAAGUGAGCUCCCCAAUCCUCCAGAGUGAUCUCAAGUGCAAGGACUAAAGGAUCUGGAAGGCAGAUGGCCAUACCUUUGCAGACAUUGCUUUGGGCUGACCACCAUUGUAAGGAGUUGAUCACCUGUAUUACAACGUGUACAUGAUCUCUCGUGUUCUGUGGAAUGGUCCUACACCUUUAGGAUGAAGACUUCUGAUGCAUGAUUGUGACCAUGGAGUGAUCCCUAUCCAGGACACCAGAAGUCCUGGGAGUUGGAAACAUCGUAUCUGCAGUUCUAGAGCAAGAAAGUUAAUUUCUGGAUGUAACCAGAUAACUUUUCUUGGCACUGAUGAUGAAGCUAUGGGCCUUAAGGAGAUUCAUUGUCUGGGACGUGGCCCUGUGUGCUGUUUACUGCACUGGAGUUCUGGACAGGAUGUCAUCCAGGAAGGGGGAAAAGGGGAGUUCCCGUCAACCUGAGUCUCACUAUUAUCACCACCACCAUUUUUGUAAAAACCCUGGGGUCCGAGGACAGGCCCAAUGGGAGUGUUCGGUACCAGUGAUGUUUCCUGCCACAGACAAACCUCAGAAGACUGCGGUGAUUCCCCUCCCUCCCCCCCGCACUUCUGUAUAAUGACAAAGAUGGAGUAAGAACCAAGAGCACCUUUCUUGUGUGGGAACACUUUGUCGCUUCCAUAUGCAGAUGAGAUUGUUUUACGUAGUCAUUGAACUGGGUGAGUGGAUGAAGAAUAGAUGCGGUAGAACAAUAUUUUCAGAUUCUGAUUAGUUGUACAAUUUAGUAUAUUAGAAAAUGGUGAAUGAUAUUGGUUAUUUACUAGAUAAUUAACUUUUUGCUCUUAGCGUCAAGCUGUAUUAGGAUUGUAACUAGAAUUUAAUUAAACAUACAAAACAACAUAUCAAAUUUAUUUUUAUUAAACAAAACACCUUUAAAUGGUUUGGGUACAUCAACUUCAUUGUUUCUCCAUGAGCUGGAGAAUAAGUUUCCAUAAUGUAUGGAAUCCUAAAUAUUCAUAAUUUGAGAACUAAGUUUAUCUGAGCUCAGGUAAAGAAGCAAUAAAAUAGGAAUAUGAAAUCAUUCAGGUGAGCUCAGUGGAUGAUUAUGAUGAGAUACAUGAUGGUGUGUCUGGGAGUUAGAGGUCGGGUCCCAACGCCUGUGAUGACUUUGCUAGUCUCUCGUACCUAGUACCACAGCCUCUGGGUCCCCCCCAAGGGUCAAGCCCUUAAUGCAACCCAUGACCUUUUAUGCCAUAUUUAUAAUGGUUGACCUCAAAAGUCAGACUUUUCAUCCCAGAUUCAUUCUUUUAUAUAGAAAAAAGUUAAGUUAAAGUUUUAGAUAGCCUCAUGGUGUCAGUAUAUUUUUAUUUAAAUGUUUUAAGAGAUUAUAAUAAGUUUAGACCUUAACAUAUUUUGUUUUAAAUUCAUAUUUCAUUUAAAACAGGUUUAUUUUUAAAAAGAAAAACAUAUUUAAAUAAAUUUAAAAAAUCACUAAUUUUUAUCCACGCUGGUCAGAGCCAUAGGUGGCACCUGGCUAAUGAGCUGGAAGCCAUGGCUUGGGCUGAGAAUCUUACUGAAUCCAUUGAGGCAUCAGCUAUAAAUGCUUUUGCUUGGGAGACUCUUUAAAUUGGAGCCAAACUCACGGUGAUCUCUGUCCUUAAGGGCUUUGAGAUCUUCCAGCCAGGAAGGAGAUGAUGUUGAAAAUUAGGUAGCUGCCAGGGACACUCAGAUGGUGAUAGAAAAGGCUUCAAAGCCCAUCUUUCUAUCCAUGGAUUCCUUAGGAUAGAAUUCCGUCACUAGGGAGGAUGCUAAAGUGCAUCAUCCUUUGGUAACUCAGCAGUAGAGCCCUUUGGUUCUUGAACAUUAUUGAGAUUGCUCUUUUUAACAUGCUUGUUCCAGUAAUUCUUUAUCACUUCCUUGAAGGAGGAGUGAAGGGCUGUUGAAGCCUUGGGAGGAUUUUGAGAGGUGAGGUUCUAUGCUCAGGAGUCUGCUCAGGUUUCAAAUCCAGACAGCUCACCUUCCUCAGGGGGGAAGGAGGCGGAGGCAGAGGACUUUAUCUCGUGGAUUUUUUGUGCUUUUUCUUUUUUUUUAUUUUUUAAUGUUUUUAGUUUCUGCUGCAGCUUUGGUGAGGCCUUUUGUAGCUUGCCUUCCUUAGGGCCUGGAGCCCUCUCGAGAGGUCUGUCUCAGAAUCCUCCCCCACUAGGUCCCAUUCCUUGGAAGGGGGAAUUUUUUGUUAGACUCCAAAAAAUUGGCUCGGGAAGGAGUGUUCUGCAUGAUCCCCUGAGUUGAGUGGGCAGAGUUCUUUGCUUUUGGAGCUUCUUCCUGCUCUGCGCUGGGGUUCCUGGUCCAUUGUUUCCCUGUUGGAGUUGCAGCUGCCUUGCUCGGUAGAGGACCUUACUUGCCUGUCCAACUUGUAGCUCUGGGACCUAAUGCAGUUACGGACGGAAGUCUGGGUGCAACUCACCAUCCACCUGGGAAGCCUACCUUACAUAUAGAGCACUACUUGGAUUUGACCGACUGCUUUCUUGGCUGCCGAGACAGUAGUGGAGGCUCAGGGAGGGUUAACUGCCCCAGGGAGCAGAAGGAAGAACACUGCCUCCACUGCCUAAAAAAACUGGACAGAAAAGUUAAAAUAGAAUGAGUGGGAGUAAAAGAAAGUGCUAUUGUCUGCUGCUGUUGAGGCAGAGUCUGGCAGCAAGCAGAAACAGAGGGAGUGUUACCAGAUCAUGUGGUGCUAAAACACGAAUCCACCUCCAAGAGCUGCAGAGAUAGAAGAGCAGCCCAGACAUCCAGAACUGUGGGAGACGGGUUGCAGAAAUAAAGAGGGAUGGGGGGGAAGAGAAAACCGGACAGAAAGAAGUAUUAGUCUGAACACUGGAUGCUGCUUAAUUUUCUCCCCAUUAAGCAUUAUUAGAGACUUUUAAGGAUAUUUUCAGGACUACCAACCAGGCCUACAGGUUACCGUACAAACCUAGCAAGGCAGACAAAUACUGCUGGGUGAUG